CGGCCGACGCCUCCAAAGCCAAGGCCGUCUCGUUCGCAUCGAGAAAGUCACGGGUUCGAUUCCCCUUAGCUCCACCA
rnacentral:tRNA from 4 species